UAGAUUGCUGAAACAAUAGUAUGAGAAUAAUAGUAUUAUUGUUUUGCAUUUACUUAAUGAAAUCUCAUUUCUACAACAUUGUUAAUUCUUUUUUUGAAUAUAGAUUGCUGAAACAAGUAGACUGUAUGCUUAAGAGAAAGAAGAGGAGGUGAAAUUAUAUGAGAUUUCUGUUGAAGAGCUGGAUUGUAUGGUGAUUGUCCUUGAAAACCAGGUUGACAUGGUCAAAGGAGAUGCUGAAAGGCAACGAUUGCAAAGGGAAGAGCUAGAACUAGAGUUUCAUGCUUUUAAACAACAAAUCAACCAAGUCAAAACUAGUGAUUAAGACAUAAAAAGAGCUUUGAAUGAAAAAGAGAAAAGUCUUCAAGAGUCCCUUCAGCGGGUUGAACUUCUUGAAAAAGAGAUUGCCAACAAAAAUAAAGUGAUUGUCCAACAUAAAGCUCACAUUUCCGAGCUUAAUCUGCAUGCUGAAGCUCA